CACGUAGGGCGCAAGCGUUGUCCGGAAUUAUUGGGCGUAAAGAGCUCGUAGGCGGUCUGUUGCGUCUGCUGUGAAAACUCGGGGCUUAACCCCGAGCCUGCAGUGGAUACGGGCAGACUAGAGGUAGGUAGGGGAGAAUGGAAUUCCCGGUGUAGCGGUGAAAUGCGCAGAUAUCGGGAGGAACACCAGUAGCGAAGGCGGUUGCCUGGAGCUUUGCUGACGCUGAUGCGCGAAAGCGUGGGGAGCGAUCCGG
rnacentral:rRNA from 1 species